rnacentral:lncRNA from 1 species
AAACAUUGAGUAUAUGUAAAAUGAAUUGCUCAAUAAACAAUGAAAUAAAAUCCAUAAAUGAAUUCAAAUGUCUGGUAAUUCAAUUUAUCCAAGCUUGAAAGGAGUGAAACAAUAAAUUUCGGAGUUAAAGCUCCCCAUUUCAUUUGGAAUUAUAUAAGCCUUCAUAUUAUGCAAUCAAUUGUUUGGCUUAUAUGUCAUUAAUGAUUUAGCUUGAUUAAAAUUCAGAUUCUCCCCCUCAACAUAUGCAUUCUACU